UGUUUUCUUCCCAGGGGGAAAUAAAGGAAGAGGUGGUUCCAUUCUGGAGCUGAGAGAGACCAUGAGGAACAGGAAGAAACAGGCUUGGCUGUGGCCCAACCAGGUGUGCGCCCCCACCACCAAAAAAAAUAUGAACAUGGUCCCUGGGAGUCAUUUUCUUUCAUCAUCCACAAAUAAGAAAAGAUGUUGCUACAUUAGCUCCAAGAUAGCUCUUUCCACAAUGGGAAAUUUCUGCUGACAGUCGCUAAGGAAACACAGGCCCACUGGGCGGGGCUCUCGGCCAGCAUCUUGAAGGAAUAGGUCCUUCUGUCACGGGGCACAGGACCCUUGACCGCAAAAUGACGUGAGUUACCACUGACCAUUUUCUGGGUUUUGAUCUUGUGACUCCAAAUGGAUGGUAAGCUCCUUAAGGGAAAGUCUAUGAUAUUCAUCCAACCAUCCAUCCAUCCUUUCAUCCACCCAACCAUCCAUCCAUCUGACCAUCAUCCAUCCAUCCAUCCAUCCAUCUAUCCAUCUUCUAUCCAUCUGUCUACUCACCCAUCCACCCAUCCAUUCAAUUAUUCAUCCAUCCCUCUUCCAUCCAUUCACCCAUCUUCCAUCCAUCUGUCCACCCAUCCAUUCCACCAUUUAUCCAUCCAACCACCAUCUAUUCAUCCAACCACUCGUCUAUUCAUCCCUCUGACCAUCCAACCAUCCAUCGAUUUGUUCAAUUAUUUUAUCAAGCAUCUACACUGCACCACACACCCUAAUGGGUGUUGGGGAGAAAAUGGAGAGUAAAAUCAGAUGGGACCUCUGACCUCAGUGCAGCUAACCGUCAGUCCGGUAGAGGAGACACGUAAACUGACAAUUACAAAUAAACACAAUGUGUCAACUCUGACAAGUGCUGUGAGGGAGAAAUCAGCAGUACUGCGAAAGCCUUUAUGGUCCUGGUGUGAGAGGCGGGAUGAGUCCAACACAGCAACAGCAGCAAGACCGUGGGGGAGUGUGGUGCAGAUGGGCAGGUGUACAGAGCCUGCGGGCCAUGUCUGCCAGCCCUCUCUUUGUGCAUUAGCAACAGUAAAACGGGGCUUGUGUUUGGGCAGAUUAUACCACUGGUCUUGCAUCCCAAACGUCUCUUUGUUCACUCAUUUAUACAAACAUGCUCAAUAAUAUUUAUGCAUUUUUACUGUGACAUCAUUUUCUUAUAUAAUAAAAGUGUCUAUUUAUAUACCGUAUAUGUAUAUAUAUAAUACACAGAUGCACACACACAAGCACAUAUGCACAGAGCUUCUUGACAGUCAGUCCCUCAUAAGGUAGUCCACUGCAGUGCAGUCAUCACCAUCCUCAGACCUCAAGAUUAUAUAACUAGAGCACCUUAUAUUUUUAUAUUUUAUUAUGUAUUUAAUAAUCACAUAACUCUUUAGUGAAUGCCAAUUAAUUACGAGAAUGACAUGCCUUCUCUCUGCUCCUCAUAAUAUCCCCCUUAGAUAGAUUUUGUCUCCCCACUUACAAGACGUGGAGACUGGGCCGGGCACGGUGACUCACGCCUGUAAUCCCAGCACUUUGGGAGGAUGAGGCGGGUGGAUCACAUGAGAUCAGGAGUUUGAGACCAU